CAGGUUAUCCCAAAGGUUCUUUAUAUUUCUUCAGAGUCAUAGAAAUCUUGCUUGAUUGGUUAUGUAAAUUUUAUAAUUUUACCGUUUUCUCGACUCGCUUUUUUUAGCCCCGUCGAGAUCUUUACAUGCUUUUGACUCAACUCUUUCAAACGCUCUCUUAAAAGGUUUUCUUUACUGUUUAAAGUCCAGGUAAACAUAGUGUGAUCCUUGUGAAUCGAUGUAAGUAUAGCGGACCCUCAUCUGGCCGAGUAAGGUAAAUCUAGUGUGAUCCUUGUGAAUCGAUGUAGGUAUAGCGGAACAUUAUCUGACCGAAUAAGGUGUGCACACGCGAACAAGAGCACGUACUUACCCGCAUUCGUCUUGCUUGUCCCACCUUCGACCACCAGCAAGUGACUGGCUCUCUUUUAUGCACUGCCAAGACAAAGAAUAUGCAUAGUUUUGUAGCACAAACAAAUGAUUGGUUAAACAAAACUUAACUGCAUUAUUAAAAAGCAAACAAAAGCUAAACAGCAAUUUAGCCUAUCUAAUUAAUUAGCAAUAUUGGGAAUAUCAUGCAUAGACAAACAUGGAAAUUAGACAACUGGAAGCUUCUAUCCUGCUUGUAUACUUCGGACCUUCGGUCUGCAUCUUCAAAACAACCGCCAUUAAACAAUAACAGUUUGGUGUCCAAGUCUUGAUCAUAAACGUGCCAUACAUAACACAAGCGAGUUGUAAGUGAAAUAAUGUCUAAGAAAGGCCUUAUGCAUCAUAGACAUUUUUACUCCCUUUGAGAGUUUUGGAUAACUUUUGGUUGCCAUGGUGCAGGAGAGUAAAUGUAUCUUGUAGAAACUUUUAGUGUCCUUGCUUUUAAUCACAACUUGCUAUAACGCAAGUGGGGUGUAUACGAAAUAUUCCUAAGAGUUUUAGAUAGCGUUAGUUGCAAAGGUGCAAAAAACGAUUAUACAAUUUUCUCCCCGUUAAUUCUCUUCGAAGGCUUUAGAUAACUUCUGGUCACCAUGGUACGAUAGGACCACCCACAAUUUAAGCGAUGGACAAAAGAAAUGCGAUACUACUAAAUUGGCAAAUAUGGAGUUUCUUCAAUGCAAAAUGUGGAAGAGUGCAACCUUCCACACGUGUAAGAGCCUAGGUUUUUUCAAGGAUUUAGUAACUGACAAACAUGAUUUACUACAGCUUUAGUGGCGGUGGAAAGGGAGUGGUGGCCGUGUCCCCAGAUCAACCAGAUCUUGCUCCCAACACAUUGGAAAUGUCCAAGUGUGGUGAAGAAGACUGACAAAGUUACGUGCAAAAAUGCCUGCAAAAGUUUACUUUGAUCGCAAUAUUAUUAAAAAUACCAAGACUAUGAAAAAUCGAAUAAGUCGCAGCUAUUACAGAAGGAUAGGUUGUUAUGUGUUCCAAGUAUACUAUCUCAAACGUGCGCAUUUCGCGAGUUACAGCAAAAAAGGCAGCUUGGCUUAGACGCAAUUAGGCUAGCUUGGAAAUUCUUUCGAGUUGAAAUCAAGCUUAGAUUCGCGGAGGUAGACUUGGGGAAUUAGUCACAAAUUUGUGAAAUUGCACAAAAAUACAAUUAUUGAAACCGAAUUACUAAACAUUCAGGCUUUGUACCACACUAUCUUCACUCUCGGUGUGUUCCAUGAACAUUAGCUUAGAUGGGUAGCAUGAUUAAUUCAUUUUGAAAAUUGGGGAAUACUACGAAAUAGGCACAAUUACAAUACCACAUAGAGUUUCAGGGUUAGGGCAGUACUACGCAUGCUGUUUUGAUGUACAUUUAUGACUCGUUUUGUUAAUAAAAUUUGAGACUGAAAAACAAAUCUUGUUCAAGUUUGAGUAUUUGGCUAGUUAUUUAAAAAGAGAUUGGAAUUUGUAGGAAUUGAUUUCGAUAGUAUUAAAAUGAAUUUUGAUUUACUGUGUUUGCAAUAAAUUAAAUCACAGGAAUCU